GAAUUAUUUACUUGUUGCUGCUUGCUGAUCCUCCCUGAUAGCUGGACUCCUGUGCCGAGCUCUUCUCAAGGACCAGAACGGCUUUACCAUGUUCCUCCAGGCGGACGGUGUUGGCUUCGACAUCCUGCAGUUAAAUUCAGGAAGUGGCAGUUGUCCUCUCUUAGGAUGAUUGUGGCAGAACGAGGGGCGUCGUUCACUAAGGCCAACUGCCCAAAGUCAUCUCCCUCAUGGAGCGUGGUCACUAAGCCCUGUGUGACGCACAUACACAAGAUCAUCUUUCCUUAAGAGAAACAGUGUGAAUAUCCUCAAACAAUGCCUGGAUUACGCUCCAUCAGAGUGCUGUAAACCACCCGCGCAGCCUUCAAGAUUCGGUCGGACAAAAACUGACAGAGAAACAGAAAAAAGGCUCUGCUGGACCCCCCGCAGAUGGCGCAUCCCGCUCCAACUCCCAAACAGACUGAGAAAACUGGAGUGUAAAAACUCAACCUCAUUGAUCGAGGCUACAGUUUAUUGAACUACUGAAGCAUGCCACCGUUGUUGCUACGCAGCCUUCAUUUUUUUUUCUGCACGCCUGCCAAGACCAACUCACUGAUCACAUGGUGAUAAAACUGGUUCGGUGUAUUGACACUCUGUAAAAAACUGUUGAAGUGGAGACAAACAUAGGAUACAAACAAGUAGGGAUGGCAAGCUUUGCAUUAGAAGCGAGAUAUUGAAGAUUUUCCUGCUAAAAAGGCAUCAAGUUUCAAGCUGGUUUGCACCAACGAAAGGAAGCUUGAGUGAUUGAAGUGGUUUUAGUAGAGAUCACACACACCGAAAUACACCUAAUUUUUACAUUUAUGCUUCAGAACAUCAAAAGCUCCAAGUUCAAAGCGAAACGCCACAAGCUGUUGCAUGAGGCCAAAACAGCAUAGCAACCAAAGUAAAUCUGAUAACUGCUUGUGCAUUUACUGAAGAAAAUGAGAGUGGUGGUGGCCACAAAACUUGCUGUCAUGAUGCUGAGGUGUUGUGUGACUGAGCAGUUGCUAGGGCAUUGCUAUGUGAUUGCUAAGGUGUUCUGUGUGGUAUUUAGCCUGUUAGGUUUAGGUGGUUGCUUAUUGCUCCAAAUCAAAAGUACAUACACUACUAUUAAAAAAAUGUUUUUUUUUUUGUUAACUUUAUUUAUUUAAGGUGGCGUAGUUACACGUUACUACAUGUACUUACUCUAGUAAUAACAGUAAAAUUAUGCAUAAUUACAAGUAACUAACCCUAAACCUAACCCUAAACAUACCUCUAUUAUUUGAGUAAGUACAAUGUAACAUCACAUCAAGUGUAACCGAUUUAAAAAAAAAAAAAAAAAACUUAUGUAUUUAUUUGAUCAAAAGUAUAGUAAAAACAGUAGUGUUGUUAAAUAUUUCUACACUUUAAAAAUAAAUGUUUUCUAUUUUAAUAUAUAUUAAAUGUCAUUCAUUCCUGUGAUGACAAAGCUGUUUUUUUAGCAUAAUUACUCCUCAGUGUCACAUGAUCCUUUCAGAAAUCAUCCUAAUAUGCUGAUUUGGUCCUUAAGAAACAUUUAUUAUUAUCAUCAAUGUUGAGAACAGUUGUGCUGCUUAAUAUUUUUGGGGAAACCAUGAUACAUUUUUUCAGGAUUUUUUGAUUUUACAGCAUAUAAUUUAAACAGCAAUAUUUUGUAACACUGUAAAUGUCUUUACUGACACUUUUGAUCAAUUUAAUACAUCCUUGCUGAAUAAAAGUAUUAAUUUCUUUAAAAAAUCUUAUUGACCCCAACCUUUCGAACGGUAAUGUAUUUUUAGUGUGAGGUACAGUAUUAAGUAGUGAAACAUACUAACAUAAUAUCUUAACAUCUAGCUAAAUUCAUUACCUUAUGAUUUAUAAUUACUAGAUUUGGAUUUAUCUUUAUAACAAAUCAUACACACAACCACUGUGGCACUCAAAAUUGCUUAUCUUACCAUUUUUCUACAACUGAAAAGUCAAAAGACAACAGUCACAAACUCAUUGUGGGCAAUAUUAGCUCAAAAACCAACUAGAAAUAUGCAAGCACCUUUUUAAUAUCCUUUUAGAACACUUAUUGCAAUCUUGCAUACUAUUUAGGAUGGAUCGUAUGUGAUUUGGGACACAUGCUUCUGCUCCACCCUAUCAUUCCUUAGUCUUGUGAUUUUCUGGAAAGUUUGAACCUUUAUUUGUUUGUUCUGUAUCCUCUGCAGAACAGUUUGUCCCAGGAUGAGGUCUUGAACUUGAAUCGCCUUCAUUUCUCACACUUUAUUUGUUGUGGUUGUUGCUGAGGGCGGUGACGUGCGCCCCUUUCUUGGAGGCCCCUGGCCUGGUCGGUCAGUCACGGUGAUGUAAUUGGCUUCUGACCCAUGAGGGAUCGGCUGACCCGUCUUUUCAGUCCAAAAGGAGGCCACAUCUACAGUUCUGCUCUCACAAGGCCACUUCACUAAACGCUGCACAAGGACAGCACUGUAUACAGCAUGUGCUUGUUCUCCAGUCUACAUAAUCCAGGGGCAAUUUCAGAGUUAUUAUUCUCUUAAAGGGUUAGUUCACCCAAAAAUGAAAAUUAUGUCAUUUAUCACUCACCCUCAUGUCGUUCCACACCCGU